GCGCCAAUGACCUAUUCUCUCAAUUCUCCUUCAACUUCAUUUGGGAAAACCGCUCAUUUGUUCUUCAUAUGGAAACCCCAAUCAAUUAUGUCAAUUAGUUCAAAAUCUUCUACAAUAUGUUUCCCUUAUUAUCACUUAUGAACCCUAGAGGAAGGAAUAUAAACCAGUUCUUCGAGGAUUCCUGAUUCAGUCCAAUGGAAUGAUGGAUUUUGACAAACACAUAUUGUUUGAUACAUCGUCUUUUCGAUUUCAACAACAUUCCAAACCCUAGAUCUCUGCCAUUCUCAUCUGUGGCGAUCUCAUCUAUGGCUUUUAAUCGUGUAAUCCGGUACGUUAGUAGUCUUUUCGAUCUGUAACCUCAAACUCAAUAUGGAUGUCUAUCAUGUCUUUUCCUGAAUCGUUAAUCUGAUUUGUUAUAGCAUCAAUUGUUGCAUCAUGAUCGAGCAGCAGUAACUGUCAACAACAGGCAAAGAGUUAGUAAGAAGAUUAGAGUUUUCUUGAUUGAAGUUUAGCUUCGGAUAGAUGGGUUCUAUUUCACAAUAUAAAUAUUUUCUUUGUUGAGUAAAAAGAAAAAAAAUUGAAAUCUUUAUCUUUUGUUACUGUAAUCAUGUUUAAUUAAAUAUUUAUAUUGUGAUGUGUGUUUCUUAGUCCAGGGAUGUGUUUGAAAUUGGUACUAUAAUCAUGUUUGAUUAAAUAAAGUGACAUUUAGAUGUCCUUUCUUGGAUUUUAUCUAUGUUGGUUCAGUUUGUUAGUUUUGUUAAUCGUCUUAUAUUUGUUAACCCCCCGUCAUUUGCAACUUUUUUACUCCUAUGCUCAUAUUGAUUUCUUAUCCAACUAGCUUCCCGUAGUGCAAUGUUUUGAGUUGAUGAAACUGAUAAUUUUGCACCAUAUACAUAUACAUAUUAAAUUUUUGUUUGAUACCUAAUUUAAAUUUUUGUUAAAGUUUGUUACAUUUCUGGUUUCCCUUUCGUUAGCACAUAAAACUGUUUUAGAGUAACUUUCCAUUGAAGGGACGAAGGUGUUGUAGUGCUCUGGCGGUGGAGGCGGUGCUGGCGCGGAGGUUUACGGGGUCCGGUACUCCGGAGUGGCCAUGGAUGAAGCAGUUAAUGGAUGGUCGAAGACUGACACGGUAGAUAUGGUUCAACGAAGGCAUGCAGCGGGCCGUCACGCGACCUGCAUAACGGGCGAAGCAUCAACCGCGAGUGGCGAUGUGAUUUGAGUUAAAACUUUUGAGAAUUCGUGUCUGGAGUAAAUUCGUUGAUUUUCAAAGGAUGGCAAACCAAUUGGUAUGCAUCGACGGGCGGCUAAAGUUAAUUUUGUGGAGAUACGAUCAUAUUGGCAUGUUUUUAGAAGUUUUGACAGGAUGUGGAGUUUCUUUAUAUUGUGCUUACAGGCUAUGAUUAUUGUUGCUUGGAAUGGUGAUGGAAACCCUACCUCAAUAUUUGAAUCAGAUGUGUUUAAAAAAGUAUUGAGUGUUUUUAUAACUGCUUUAAUAUUGAAGCUUGGUCAAGUUGUUUUGGAUGUGGUGCUAAAUUGGAAAGUAAGACAAUGCAUGCCAUUUUAUGCCAAGCUAAGAUACCUUUUGAAGGUCGUAUCAGCUGCAGCUUGGAGGGAGAAAAAACACAAUGACCAGAGACAAAAAGGCAGUGGUGAAGUCGCUUGGGAUGGUAGUAGUGGUGGUGUUAAAGUUUCGUCGUUUUGAUAUGGCGAUAGUGGCCAGGGAUCAGGUUGCGAUUUUGACUUAUUGGGGGAUUUCAAGAUCUUAAAUUACCGGAAAGGAUGGUACUAAUUUCAAUCAUUCAAAUCUGCAAUCAAAUUGAGGUUGCGAUUUUGACUUAUUGGGGGAUUUCAAGAUCUUAAAUUACCGGAAAGGAUGGUACUAAGUAAGUGGGCGUGGAACUGUUUUAGGUUAAUAGUUUAACAGAUUAUUUUGAGAUGCAUGUUUUGUUUUUCAGUUUCAAUCAUUCAAAUCUGCAAUCAAAUUGAGGUUAGUAUAUACCAUGCUUUAUUUAUUAGAGUUCAAUUCACUGGAGUUUUUUUUUUUUUUUUACUUUGGCAACAUUAGUCCGGGUCAACUCUUGUAGAUUAACUUAUGUUAAAAUGAUUAUUGGGAGAAAAUGUUAACAAGAAAUGUAGGAAGAGGGCUUCUUAGUGCCAUGUUGAUUCUUGCUGUUAUAAGUUGGUUUCAUGACGUGCCUCUUUUUGGUUCCGUAUUAACAUCAGUCUAUAUAGGGAAUCUAAAAAAGCUGAUUAUUUUGUCAAAUUAAAGUUUGUUCGUUUAAAUUGUUCAUACCAAAUAUCUUGAAAGUUUUAGAAAUUAUUGAUCCUUUGAAUUCUGAAAACAAAAAUCUUUACCUGAUUGUCAGUAAGUUUAUGCUUCAAAGCCAACUGCUCCUUGUAGGUAAAGAGAUAACGUAUUUAAUUGAAUUGCAUAGGAGAUUUUGGGAGAUUGUGGUUGUGCUGGUAUCCAAACACAAGACGUUGUAAGCAAUCUGUUUGGCUCAACUUUUGUCUACGCUGCAAGCUUCCAUUGGCUGGAUGGUUUACGCUUCUGGUUUUUCGAGUUAUGCUGCAUUUUGGUUGUUGCAGUGAGACAGCUUUGCAACAGCCAUUGGAGAUCUCUGCAGUAGCCAAAGCAUUCUGUGAGUGUGGUGAAGGUCUUUUGUGUGGGACUUUGGUGUCUAGAUGAGAACUGGUAUUAUAGCCUGUUCACCCUCUUUAUGCUAUUUAUGUUUGAGUCAACAAUGGCCAAAAAGUCGGUUAAAAACUUUAUCAGAGCUAAGACGUGUUAGAGUAGAUAACUAGAUGCUAAUGGUCUAUCGUUGUGGCAAGUGGACGAAGAUAGCAGGAACUGAUCUUUUGCCUGUUUGGCAAGCUUCAGUCUCAAUUUUAGACCCAACAGUCGCGCUGCUGGUCAAGAUGGAGAGGAAAAAUCCGUCCCCGCAGAUAUGCUUAUUCUCGCAGGAACUGCUAUUGUAAACAAGGCUAUCCUUACCGGCGAGUCAAUGCCCCAAUGGAAGGAAAAUUCCAAGAGAUUUGACAGAGGCGUCAGUGUCAGGUGUCGGCUUGUCUAUCGUAGCUGCUCUUGCCAUGAUGUUUUUAUUUAGAAUGGAGCUACAUAAUUAUUUGAGUAUCAGUACCUCGAAUUCUGUCAUAGUCGACAGAAGUCCUGAUGAGGAUUACUUACGGAUUGACUUUAAUCUUAGGUGCUUCGGAGAGAGACAUUGGUGAUGGAGAUGGACAAGCUUAUUAUCUGUGUUUUGACGAAUCUUAAGGGAAGACACCAAUUGUAUGCAUAUGAAAGACGGGCCCAAAAUUGCGGUCAUAUCUGUUUGCGUUGAAGAAGAGCACUGGACCGGCUAUCUUGAGCUCUAUUAUCAGAAAGAGGUUGCUGAUUUGGCAAGGCUAAAUCAUGAAAACACAAGUAAAUUGCUUGGGUAUUGUAUAGAUAGUAGCAUGUUUACACGAAUGUUAGUUUUUGAAUAUGUGUCGAACGGAACAUUGUAUGAGCAUCUCCAUUAUGAAGAGGAGUGCCACUUAAGUUGGUCAAGGAGAAUGAAUAUUAUUGUAGGCGUAGCUAAAAGUCUGAGGUAUCUUCACACGGAAAUCAAGCCACCAUUUACUAUAUCUGAGCUAAACUCAAGUGCAGUGUAUCUUACUGAAGAUUUUUCACCAAAGGUAUACUUUAGUGACACAAUUGUUUGAAUUUUGAUGCUAUGGUUAUAUUACAUGUAAAUAUUUAAUAAAAGUAACAUAACAUUUGUUUUUCUCUCUUGAAGCUUUUUGACUUUGAAAGUUGGAAAAUGA